AGUUGCCAGCAAGUAAAAGUUGGGGGACGUCUAGCGAGACUGCCGGUGUAAACCGUGAGGAAGGUGGGGAUGACGUCAAAUCAGCACGGCCCUUAUAUCCAGGGCUACACACGUGUUACAAUGGUCGGUACAAAGAGCAGCCACUUGGUGACAAGGCGCUAAUCUCAAAAGCCGAUCUCAGUUCGGAUCGAAGUCUGCAACUCGACUUCGUGAAGUUGGAUUCGCUAGUAAUCGCGCAUCAGCCAUGGCGCGGUGAAUACGUUCCCGGGCCUU
rnacentral:rRNA from 1 species